UGCUAUGAGUUUUUUUUCAUUAAUUGUUGAUUGACGGGCGUUGUUUGAUGUGCAGGUAUCUUCGAAAUCGUGAUGAUUGAGAUUGCAAAUGCUAUUGUAACAGGAGUCACAUGGAAGAAAUUGGUAAUUUUCUUUUGUCUCUUUUGAAUUUUGUUGUUAAAAUUAUUUGAUUUGCAUGUCCUCUGAGGGUGCCAAGGUUGUUGCUGAUUGGUGCGGCAAUCGAUAUUGGUUCUUUUUUCGAGCUUCAGAUGAUGACAUAAUAAAUUAAAGUGAAGGUAUCUUCGAAAUCGUGAUGAUUGAGAUUGCAAAUGCUAUUGUAACAGGAGUCACAUGGAAGAAAUUGAUAAUUUUCUUUUGUCUCUUUUGAAUUCUGUUGUUAAAAUUAUUUGAUUUGCAUGUCCCAUGAGGGUGUCAAGGUUGUUGCUAAUUGGUGCGGCAAUCGAUAUUGGUUCUUUUUUCGAGCUUCAGAUGAUGACAUAAUAAAUUAAAGCGAAGGUACUUGUGCAUAUAUCUGUCGUGAACUUUUUUUGCUCGAUCAUGAAAUAUCAAGGUAUAAACUCAUUGAUUCUUGCAAAAAUUGAUGCAGUAUCGAACACCAUGGUUGUUUAUCAUUUUGCAGCAUCAACACGAUAUACAUUGGCAGCUCUUAGUAUUAUUGUUUAUUUAUGUUGUAGCUGCUUCACCUGCUGCUAACUAUGACAAUAAAGGUUAAUUCAAUUUAGAGUCGUGCUGUGACGAGGUCAUCCUCAUGACAGCUUUUGUAAGAGUGCAUCUUCUAGCCUUUAGAUAUGAUAUCCAAGAUGAAUAAGUUAAUUUUUUUUUCUAACAAUUCCAUAUUCAAUUAAUCAUAAUUACUUUUUACACAUCCCUUUAUUUGAUUUUUGUUUCUGGUUAGUCCCUCUAAAAAG